CACACACACACACACACACACACACUUUGCAUUAGCAGUCCAUGCUUCAGUGCUCUGUGAGUGUUUAUAGUCCUGUGACUUGAACACUUCAUGACUGAGAGCUGCUGAUCAGCAACUUCACCCACAGCAACCAUGACUUUGAUCAGCGUCUUCAUCUGCACACUGGCCCUCUGGACUCAAGGAUCCAGAGGUCAGGUGACUGUGACUCAGACUCCUUCAGUGCAAACUGUUGUUCCAGGAAACACAGUCACCAUCAACUGUAAAACCAGUAGCAGUGUGUAUAGUGGUGAUACACUGCACUGGUACCUGCAGAAACUCGGAGAAGCUCCUAAACUUCUCAUCCAUGAUGCUACUGAAUUAGAAUCAGGAAUUCCAGAUCGUUUCAGAGGCAGUGGAUCGAAUACUGACUUCACUCUGACCAUCAGUGGAGUCCAGACUGAAGAUGCAGGAGAUUACUACUGUCAGAGUGUUCAUGUGAUCAGUAGUAACUAUGUGUUCACACAGUGUUAGAGCAUCGUACAAAAACCUCGGUCAGUGAGAGUGUACAGAGAAGCACUGCUGCAGCUGGGAGAGACUGCAGGUGCUGAGGGGGAGGAUGUGAUACACACAAUCACACACACUGUGGAUGAGAGAAAACACAACACACUAACACGCUAAUACACACAUCUGUAACACAUCUGUAACAGGAGUCCACCUUUCACAUCUGUAGAUUUACAAACAUUUCCUGAUCUUUCUGAUUUACUGCACAAUAAUUAUCUUCAUCCCAUUUUACAGACUUAUGGAAAUAUUUAUUAUAUUUAUAUUUUGUUGAAAAUAUAAUUUACUCAACAUUUCUUUAUGAAUGUUGAACAUUAUUA